UACGGGGGGGGCAAGCGUUGUUCGGAAUUACUGGGCGUAAAGGGCUCGUAGGCGGCCAACUAAGUCAUACGUGAAAUCCCUCAGCUUAACUGGGGAACUGCGUGUGAUACUGGAUGGCUUGGAUUUGGGAGAGGGAUGCGGAAUUCCAGGUGUAGCGGUGAAAUGCGUAGAUAUCUGGAGGAACACCGGUGGCGAAGGCGGCAUCCUGGACCAACACUGACGCUGAGGAGCGAAAGCCAGGGGAGCAAACGGG
rnacentral:rRNA from 1 species